rnacentral:rRNA from 1 species
AGAGUUUGAUCAUGGCUCAGGACAAACGUUGGCGGCGUGCCUAACACAUGCAAGUCGAACGUGGCUCCGGAUUUAUUCGGAGUCUAGUGGCGGACGGCAGAGUAAUGCAGAGGAACAUACCUCGAAGUGGGGGAUAGCCCAUCGAAAGAUGGGGUAAUACCGCAUACGGUCGCAAGACCAAAGCCGCAAGGCGCUUUGAGAAUGGCCUCUGUCCUAUCAGGUAGUUGGUGGGGUAAAAGCCUACCAAGCCUACGACGGGUAGCUGGUCUGAGAGGAUGAUCAGCCUGAUCGGGACUGAGACACGGCCCGAACUCCUACGGGAGGCAGCAGUUGGGAAUUUUGCACAAUGGACGCAAGUCUGAUGCAGCAACGCCGCGUGCAGGAAGAAGGAUUUCGGUCUGUAAACUGCUUUUAUAGGGGAGUAAUCUUUGAAAGUACCCUAUGAAUAAGCACCGGCUAACUCCGUGCCAGCAGCCGCGGUAAUACGGAGGGUGCUAACGUUGUCCGGAAUUACUGGGCGUAAAGCGCAUGUAGGUGGACCUGUAAGUGGGUAAUGAAAUAUCGACGCUCAACGUCGGGAACGUGACCCAUACUGUAGGUCUUGAGGGUAGCAGGGGUAAGCGGAACUUUAGGUGUAGGAGUGAAAUCCGUAGAUAUCUAAAGGAACACCAAUGGCGAAGGCAGCUUACUGGGCUAUUUCUGACACUGAGAUGCGAAAGCGUGGGGAGCGAACGGGAUUAGAUACCCCCGUAGUCC